GCCACGGUGGUCUAGCGGUUAGAACGCUGGCCUUGUAAUCCUGAGGGCUCGGGUUCGAUUCCCGGCGGUGCCC
rfam:Zootermopsis nevadensis contig16103, whole genome shotgun sequence.